rnacentral:lncRNA from 1 species
AUCCUAACAUAACUAAAAUGAAAGUCUAAUUAUCUCGAGAUCGGAUUGGGGGAGAGGCCUUACAACGCCCUAAUGUGCCCCCACAGCCAUGUCAGGAACAGGAAGAGAAUCUCGUCCUGACAUGAGCAAAGUCAAAGGCCUGGUUCUUUUAGACCGGAUGGGGGGAGAGGCCUUACAACGCCCUAAUGCACCCCCACAGCCAUGUCAGGAACAGGAGGAGAACCUCGUCCUGACAUGAGCAAAGUCAAAGGCCCGGUUCUUUUAGACCGGAUGGGGGGAGAGGUCUUACAACGCCCUAAUGUGCCCCCACAGCCAUGUCAGGAACAGGAGGAGGACUUCGUCCUGACAUGAGCAAAGUCAAAGGCCCGAUUCUUUUAGAUCGGAUGGGGGGAGAGGCCUUACAACAUCCUAAUGUGCCCCCACAGCCAUGUCAGGAACAGAAGGAGAACCUCGUCCUGACAUGAGCAAAGUCGAAGGCCCGAUUCUUUUAGAUCGGAUGGGGGGAG